AUGCUUGCUUAGGCAGCACAUAUACUGAAAUUGGAACACAGAGAAGAUUAGCAUGGCCCCUGCACAAGAAUGACACACAAAUUUAUGAAGCAUUCUGUUUUUAA
rnacentral:snRNA from 1 species